UCCUGGUUAACCCAGGCAGUCUCGUUGGAGUUCCCACCUAAUAUGUUGGCAACUAACGAUAAGGGUUGCGCUCGUUGCGGGACUUAACCCAACACCUCACGGCACGAGCUGACGACAGCCAUGCAGCACCUGUGCAGAGGCCCCUGAGGGAGACAGCAUUUCUGCUGCUGUCCUCUGCAUGUCAAGCCUGGGUAAGGUUCUUCGCGUUGCAUCGAAUUAAACCACAUGCUCCACUGCUUGUGCGGGUCCCCGUCAAUUCUUUUGAGUUUCACCCUUGCGAGCGUACUCCCCAGGCGGUAUACUUAUCGCGUUAGCUUCGGCACAACCGGGGUUGAGUCCAGUUACACCAAGUAUACAUCGUUUAAGGCAAGGACUAC
rnacentral:misc_RNA from 1 species